CUUCACUUUGUCAUAUCUACCGAGAACUCGUGAAGUCUGCACGUCUGCAGAUGUUAUAGACAUUAUUUUACGUGGACCUCAGCAUGUCAUGGACUGUGUUUACCUGUGAUUUGUCCAGUUUUAGUUUUUCAUUUGGCUUUCAUAAAAAAAAAAAAAAAAAAAAAAAAAGAAUGAUCGUGGAGAGAUCUUAAACGGGAUAUCCUUCGAAUCGGGUCGUAUACGUCUGCACAUCUGAUUGGCAUCGUGCUGUUGUGACACACCAGCAGUGCUGCUGCUGGAACCUCAAACCCUCGAGCUGCUGUCUGCAUAUUGAGAUGCACUUCGAUGAAGGCUGGUGGAAGGCUGCCAUUCGGUCUAGUCUAAGCAGCUCCUUUUAUCAUGAUCAAACCAAUGCUUGCACUAAAAACUGGGAAAUGUGUGAGAGAGAUGCAAGGGAUGAACUGGUAAGACAAAAUGUGAGUUGAAAAAUGAAAUGUGGAAUAUUUAGUAUUUUCUUAUAAGUUAUUGUUUUCUGAGCUGAAUGGUCUAUUUUAUGGAAUCAUAGAAGGUUUGAGGAUUUCUAUCGAAGUAAAUGUCUCUGUAGAAACAAAAAGGCAUAAGAUGACUGAGUGGUUUCAAACACAUUCACACUCACUCGUUCUACAGUCUAGACCACAAGUAUUCACUCUCCUCAAACCUGACCCUGACAUGUAAGCCUGAAAUAGACGCCUACUUAGACAUGACAUCAGCCAGUGUUUUAGCCAAACACACACACAGUUCACGUCUGCAGAGCCAAAUGACCUGCACUUAUAAGUCUAGUGGGGAAGUCUCUGGCAGCUGUGCGAAGGCAGUGAGAACACCAGAUGUAAGAACGUAAUGCGUUAAAAGCCUGCUUCUGGAAGUAUCGGAGUAGCAUUUCCUUUCUAAAGAGGUAAAUGAGUGUAAACUCAAUCUUUAGGAUAGAAAACCUGCUUUUUUAAGGUUUUAGAUUUAGAAAAAUGUGUUUAUAUGGUUGAGAACGAAAAAACAACUGGCACUUUUUUUCAUUUUGGCUGCAAAUGAUUCACAUUUUGUGGAACCAUGCCAUUUUUAAUAUCUAUCUAAUGUUUUGGAGUGUAACUUCCUAAACCAUGUAAUAAUGCUGCUUUUAUGUAGCCACAUGAAAUCAAUUAAUUUUAUUUGUACUAAUAAAUAGUCUAGAAAGUGGUCUUGGAAAAUGAAUAGUGCUCCAAUUCUUACAUUUAUCAUGUAUCAAAGUUGAGUGUGUCAUGAACUGAAUUAAUAAGUGGAGCAUCAGAUGUUCCAGUUAACAAAUAAUACUGAAGGACAGGCAUUAGCAAUACCGGUUUACAUUUUUCUAGCUACAGCUAGCUUGUUUAGUCUGUCACAAUGAAUUAUGGGAUUUUGAAAAACAAACAAAACAAUAAGAGGUGUAACUCACAAAAUAAAAGUUAAGUUUAUUGUUGAACAACAAACUCCACACAUACAACAAACAGGCCAAGGUAAAACAAAUAAUGUAGACAAAACAAAGUCAAAAGAAACCAAAACUCCUUUUCUUUGGCCUUGCCCUCUCAUACAAAAACUAGUUUAUGGUACAACUAAAGUUCAUACAUAAAAUUUACUGGAAUGCUCUUGAGUUCAAUGGCUGUUGAUUUUAUACAUGUUGUAUUUACGUUGAAAUAUUGAGACAUGGUCAAACCAAACAAGUAAAAUUUCCAUAAAGAAGCACCGUUUUGGUCACAGGAGAUCAUGAUAAAGUGGCUGACCUCUUCACAAUAUAUGUACAAAAAUAUAAAAUGUAAAUAAAAAUACAAACAAAUCCUUGUCUUGCGUAUUUUCAUUGUGAAUGCUGAAAAUCUGAGAUGUGGUCGGUCCUCUAGAAAAUUUUUAAUUGGGGUCAAGUUGGUUAACAUGGGU